GCAGAUGGAGGCGCCUUGGAUCCCUGAGUCACUGCAUGGAGGAGCACUGCCCUGGAGAGUCCCACUGACCCUCGGUGGUCUUGUGUGAGCCAGAAAUGCACUUCUGUUGGGUUAAGCUGCUGCUUAUUGAACAAAACUGUCAUGGGUUGGUUCCAUCCUAUCAAUAACCACCAGCCCUUUCCGUUGUUAUGAUUGCAAGGUGUCCUUUAGCAAUAACCAUCAGAAAACUUCCCCCAAAAUUAAGGUUUAUUACUUAUAGGACCUGGAACUUUCAGAGCACACCUGGGUCCACACAGUGAGGUCAAGGGGAAAGAGAUCACCAGAUCAUGGCCUGGGGGUUCUGCUUUUUAUUGGGGUUGAGGGUGGGGGCUUAGCGGUUUGUGUGCUCACCCUUUAUUGGUGAAUUUAAGACACGAGAGUGCAAAUGUAAAGUUCGGGAAGGGAAAACACAGGUGGCUCAAGUAGUCAAAUUAACCCAAAUUUCUAAAUCAAAGCAACCUUAGUGAGGGAAGGCGGCCUGGCUCUUUAUAAAGUCACGUGGCUGGCAAUCUGUUUAUUGUAGAUCACCUUCUUUGAAGUGGAUUCCUGGCAAUCAAAGAUUGUCUGGCACUAAUCAAAGUUAAGGGAGGCACUUACAUUAACAAAAAGACAAACAAACCCUCCAAUCCCAAGCUGUCAGGGUUUACAUGACAAUAACCUAAUCUAUAUUGACCAACAGUCAUCUGGGCAAUUUGUCCUUUUUUUUUUUGUCUUUUUAGGGCCAUACCCAUGGCAUUUGGAGGUUCCCAGACUAGAGGUGUUUUUGGAGCUGUAGCUGCUGGCCUACACCACAGCCACAGCCACAUCAGAUCCAAGACGUGUCUGUGACCUACACCACAGCUCACAGCAAUGCCAGAUCCUGAACAAGGCCAGGGAUCAAACUUGGGCCUCAUGGCUGCCAGUCAGUCUCAUUUUGGCUGAACCAUAUUGGGAACUCCCAGGCAGAUUUUAUCUUGAAGACAUAAUUUCCUUGAAGUGCAGGACCUGGGUUUUGGGUUGAAUUGCCUCCUCUACCAAAUUUAUGUUGCAGUCCUGACUUCCAUUAGGACCUCAGAAUGUGACAUUAUUUGGAAACUGUGUCUUUGUGGAAACGAUUAUUAAGACAAGGUUAUUCAGGUGAGCCAUGAUGCAGGAUGACUGGGGUCUUUAUAAAAAGGGGAAAUUUGGAGACAUACACACACACACCCCUUCACUGGAAGAACCCCCUGUGAAGGUGAAGGUGGUGACUUGGGGCCGGGAUCUGGGAUGUGGCUUUUAAAAGCCAAGGAAUGCUAAAGCCGGCCAGGAAACCUCCAGAGCCAGGGGAGAGGCCUGGCAUAGAUCCUCCCUCACGGUCCUCAGAGGAACCAACCCUGUGGGCACCUUGAUCUUAGACUUCUGGCCUCCAGAAUUGUGAGACCAUACGUUUCUGUUGUUUGUGGUACCUUGUAGCUGGUAGAAAUUUCUAGCAAAUUAAUGCAACCGUCAAGGAUCUCUGCGGUCUCUGAAAUCUGGGAUUUGUGGACAAAGAAUGUUGGCUCUUGUAGCCAUCAAGCCCUCAGCCACAUCAGCCAUCCUGAGGGAAUUCAGGAUGGAGAAAAACAGGAUACUGGCCCUAGAUAGUUAAGGUUAAGGUGCGUGUCAAAGGAUUGCAUUUCAUUAUUCCUGGACUCUCGCAUCUUCCCAGAUACAUACAAAAGUGCUAAAAGAAAAAAAAAAAAUAGUUAAAAAAAAAAAAAAAAAAGGAAAAAAAAAAAACCAAAAAAAAACAAUAAUCUUUUGAUGUUCAAUGACUUGUUUUUUUGUCUUUUUUUUUUUUGCAAGAACUCCUUUAUAUCCUGGCUCUUCCCUUUUCUCUUCAGAGGUCCCUCAGAGCAAUCUGAGAGGCUGUCUCCUGGGCUUAGCUCCUCAGGAAUGUGCCACAUAAAACAUAACUCUCAACUUUUAGAGUCUGCAUUUUUUUUUUUUUCAGUCAACAGAUUUUUGCUUUCAUGGACACUUGUUUUAGACCUAAAUGAAGAAUAAGAGGUGAUGGGCUAGACCUUGACUUUUUGUUAAACCACCUCAGCUUUCAGAAUACUGUCAUUUCUCGGGGUUCCUAUCGUGGCGCAGUGGUUAACGAAUCCGACUAGGAAUGAUGAGGUUGCUGGUUCGGUCCCUGGCCUUGCUCAGUGGGUUAAGGAUCCGGCGUUGCCGUGAGCUGUGGUGUAG
ensembl:lncRNA